AGAGUUUGAUCCUGGCUCAGGAUGAACGCUAGCUGGAGGCUUAAUACAUGCAAGUCGAGCGGGAUUGGUAGCAAUACCAUGAAAGCGGCGCACGGGUGAGUAACGCGUACACGACCUACCUCUAACAGGGGGAUAGCCCUGGGAAACUGGGAUUAAUACCGCAUAUAAUUCUGAUUUUAAAAGGUUGGAAUGAAAGUUCAGGCGGUUAGAGAUGGGUGUGCGUCUGAUUAGCUAGUUGGUAAGGUAACGGCUUACCAAGGCGAUGAUCAGUAGGGGGCGUGAGAGCGUGGUCCCCCACACGGGUACUGAGACACGGACCCGACUCCUACGGGAGGCAGCAGUAAGGAAUAUUGGACAAUGGCCGCAAGGCUGAUCCAGCCAUCCAGCGUGCAUGAAGAAGGCCCUAUGGGUUGUAAACUGCUUUUGUCAGGGAAGAAACCUUGGGAUUUACUCCUGAGCUGACGGUACCUGAAGAAUAAGCACCGGCUAACUCCGUGCCAGCCGCCGCGGUAAUAC
rnacentral:rRNA from 1 species